rnacentral:lncRNA from 1 species
CUUUUUCAUAUCACUGCCUGGUUGUGCUUUAGAUGCUUUUUAGGACUUUGUUGCUCGUUAUGACCUGUGAGUUCAUGAACAAGUUAGAAAAAACCUAAAAGAUGGUUUUAAGCACAACAAACAUGCGCCUUGUCCAAAAAUUUUAUCGACUAAAAUCUUGUCAAUGUAUAAAAUCAACAGUUGUAUUCUUAGUUUUGUAAUUCAAUAUUGUCUGGAUAUGUCGUUUUCCGUAUUAGUUCUUCAGUGCAAUGACCAAAUAUCAAAACUUGUAAUUGCUUAUCACGCAUAUUCUAAUCAAUAGACGAAACUUUUAUCUUUUUGUUCUGGGUGAUACUCUUUUCUUAGUUUAAUCGAUAUAUCGCUUUUAUGUAUGGCAGCUAUAUCUAUUAUAUGUUUAGUGACGUGCCAAGAUACUUCCAAGGACACUACAUGCUCAAUUCUAUAUAAAUGUUGCUUCCUACAGCUGAAAAGUUGUGUUCUUUAUCUAAGAAACGAGGUUGUAUCUAGAAUUACAGCUUUUAUCUCAAUUUUUUUACAGUUCGUGCUAUAGCGCAAAAAACGAAUUGAUUUCGUGAUCAAGCUAAAUUUGGAUUUUGAGUUUGAGUGCUUUUGUUGGUUGGUUGAUUGAAACCAUUGCAUGUCAGAAUUGCUUUCUGUCACUAGCAAUUAGCAAUGAACUAAAGUUUGAGCUGUG